rnacentral:rRNA from 1 species
AUUGAACGCUGGCGGCAUGCCUUACACAUGCAAGUCGAACGGCAGCACGGGAGCAAUCCUGGUGGCGAGUGGUGAACGGGUGAGUAAUAUAUCGGAACGUGCCCAGUCGUGGGGAUAACGUAGCGAAAGCUACGCUAAUACCGCAUACGAUCUAUGGAUGAAAGCGGGGGAUCGCAAGACCUCGCGCGAUUGGAGCGGCCGAUAUCAGAUUAGGUAGUUGGUGAGGUAAAGGCUCACCAAGCCGACGAUCUGUAGCUGGUCUGAGAGGACGACCAGCCACACUGGGACUGAGACACGGCCCAGACUCCUACGGAGGCAGCAGUGGGGAA